GACUGCUCCGGUGGCUUAGUGGUUAGGGCGUCCAUCUUGGAUGCGGGAAGUCGAGGGUUUGAACCCUACCCGAGUCA